GACAGAGGUGCCAAGCGUUAGGCGGAAUCACUGGGCUUAAAGCGUGUGUAGGCGGGUCGUUAAGUACCUUGUGAAAUCCCCCGGCUCAACCGGGGAACGGCUGGGUAUACUGGCGAUCUUGAGCGACCUAGGGGCAGUCGGAACAAGUGGUGGAGCGGUGAAAUGACGUAGAUAUCACUUGGAACGCCAAUGGUGAAAACAGACUGCUGGGGGUUCGCUGAACGCUGAGACGACGAAAGCCAGGGGAGCAAACGGGAUUAAGC
rnacentral:rRNA from 1 species